CAUUAUCGACCAACUAAGCUCAAUACAGAAAAAGUAUAACUAAAAUACAAGAGCGUAAUCUAAGUCAAUAGUAAAAUGAGAUAGAAUAGUAAACAACUACCAACCUACGCAAAUGCGGUAAAGAAAUAAAUAUAAGUGAUACAGAAAAUAAAUAUUGCAGUAAUAAUAGACAAAUCAAACAUAACAUAAUUGGGCCCAUAUAAGCCCGCUAGACAUACUGAAGAAGACAAUUAACCUAGACAUACCCCCAUAAGCCGGUGGAGCACAUAAGAAAUAGUUAAAGAAAAUAAAUGUAAAUAAUUCAUAAUUGAGUCGAUAUUAAGAAAUCAUAGUAGUCAUCCAAAUGUGCACGAAGC
rnacentral:lncRNA from 1 species